rnacentral:pre_miRNA from 1 species
AGUCUUCUGUAUCCGUGCUGAGAUUUCAUCAAACACCAGACCACAAGGGCUGAUGAGACUUCCAAGAUACGCGAAGCA